ensembl:lncRNA
CCAUAAGACAGCUCAGCUACAUAAACAAAGCUGACUGGGACAACACCAGCCAUGCACCCAAACUAUUUAUUUAGACAGGAUCAGAGCAGACACACCGAGUGUGGUUAGAGAACAGCUGCUUCUCAAAAGGCUCUAUUUAGCAAUCAAAGACUCACCUAGUUAGGCUACAGAACAUUUCUCAUCACCAAAUCUCAUCACUAUACAUGAGCAGUACAGCACAGCUGAGUAGUGAGUUCCGUUUUCUGCCAAGACUGAAUUAAUGUUUUUAAUAUUCAAAUUUGAUUUUUCAUUACACAGAGGCAGGCUUCACAAUAGAGACCUUGACCUCUCUAACACAAGCAUAUCAAUUCCUCUCAGAGCUUAACUUAGCUUAACUUCGGAGAGACUGCUUCAAGUUUAAUAUCCUUGGAAAAUUACCAGAAUGAAUAAGACCAGACAUUAAUUCCUCCCUAAAAGUGUUGAAUUUUGGAACCUGCCUAUAGUCUGUAGAUAUUUACACCCUUGGUUCAUCAAACGGAUAAUAAAUACAAGGUUGAAACAAAAAUCUAACUCCUGUGCUCCACUCUCGUUAUAUAUCCUGAACACAGAUGCCUGCUCAGAUAACAGGUCUGUCAUGAAGGCUGUGAACGGCAAGGUGAACACUGCACUAUUUUAAAAUACCUUCAAUCAUAAGAGACUUGAACAUUAUGUAUGAUUUUUAGGGGAGUUGCAGAGAGCGCAUCAAAACUCCUUUGCAUGCAUAGCUUCCAGACCUCAAAGCGGGGAUGUUAUCAGCUGUCAAUCAACAGGUAUUUAUUGAAUCCCUGAUAGUCUCUUAGAAAGCUGCUAGGUUCUGUGGAAAAUCCAGAAGCAAUAGAAACAAAUAACAUUUACUCACAAAGAGUUGAUAUUUGGGUACAAGAGAUAAGAUACAUAAAAUCAUCAAUAAAUCAAAAUGCUUAUUAUCAGGUUAUCAGCAAGAGAGUUCAUCACCCUGGCUGCAUAGCUCAGAGGAUCCUGAAAUUACGGCUAUCGCAGGCAGCCAGAACCCUGGGAGAGUAUAUCAAUAACUCGGCAUCAACCAAACCAGAGUGGUGCCUGUUUCAAACCUGGGUAGACAAAGCAAUUCACAAGAAUUGUCUAAGCCCCAAUAUUUCAAUAGCUUCUCCGUCUUCACCAAAGUUCAGCUUCUUUCUUUGAUAAUAAAGGCCACAGUUUUCUUUAGAGAACCUUCUUCCAUUCUCAUUUUAUGAGUAAGUUUAGAAUGCCCCUGGAGAGUCUAAGCUUUCCAAACUUUAUACAGCAGCAGGACUGAAUUCUUCUAAGAGGAAUUUGAGGACAUGGGGGAGAUAUUAAAAAUCAAUUUGUUGAGUCUAGAGAAAUAACAAAAGAUGAAAAAGGGAAGUCAUUACUAGAUGUUCCAUCAUCAGAAGCUAUGGAGGAGAGAUGGUUAGGUAACAGGAAAAGGAGCAGACUCGAAAGCUGUCUGCCCUUCACCCCAAAUCUCUUUGAAUAUAAGACACUUCGAAGAUUAAGCUUUUGUAACAUUAGCCCCCUGCAGCUUUAAAUCAUUAAAGUUCCACAGCUGUGCUAAAUAUUAUACAAGAGACACAAGAACGAGUAACACGUGCAACAGGAGGAGAGGCAGGCGGCGUGGAGAAAGACACCAACGUUGAGUCACCGUUUUUCUAGGGAUAAAACCGUGAGUUAGGCACACUCGGGAUUUCACUCACUGCCUCCAGGAUGCGACGUGCCCACACCACUCCCGUCAGCAGAUGAAAGAAGUGACUCUCAGAGAAGAGGAAGUCACGGGCCUCAGCCAGCGAGGUCUCCAACCUGGGAGCUGGAGAAGAGACACAAGUGAGGGAAGAUCAGCCUCCACAGCAGAGAUGGAGACGGGGGGAGGCGGGCCUGCGAGGAUGCGGGCAGUCAGCUGCUGAGUGGCGGGCAGCUCUGCAGGGACUUCUGAUUCUGGCCCCCAAAAGAAAAGCUCACGCCCACCGUGUGUGUCACGGUUCACGAGGCUCACAGGUCAGAGAAGAAAGGCUUUUGUCUCGUUUGUUUUUUUUUUUUUUUUUAAGGUACAGCCAGGCUUAUCUUCUCCUGAAGGAGUAUUGUUCACACUUUACCAACUGUUGUCUGUUAGUCUCUCUCUUGUUAAAAAACAAAAUCCAUUGAGCAAAUCUGAAGAUCGAACUGGCUCUAUUCAACAGUUCAUGGUUUAGCCAACGUCCCAUCAAGCAAGGAGAAGUGUGUUCCAAGGAGCCACACCAAGUGAAAGGUUUAUCUUCCGUCUGGUUUGGUCUUGGGUUUCCUUUGUUUACUGUAAAGUUACUUGGUAAGUGGCGUGGCCACCUCUGUUGCCAAUGCCUUUGCAAGAACAAUAAUUUUAUUACGACUCUAGGACCUGAAGAGGUUUGCUACUUGAAGCCAGGUACCAGCUGAAGUUAAGGUCCAACCUGCCCAGGGAGCUAGCGGGUAAGGGCCCUCUCUUCCCUAAAUGAUUACAUUUCAAACAGAUGGUUUCCACAUCCCAAGGAAACAUUCCUGAGUUUUAAAACUGGCAGGAGGCUUAUUUAGCUUUAAAAAGAUUUUCAUACCAAUAAAAAGGGUUUUCAAAGGCAGAAAAUGGGUGGAACAAGGAAGUCACAAACAAAAGAAAGGAUUAUUUCAGACAAGGUCAGCUGCUAUUGAAGGAAGUUCCUGGGGUCUAUCAGGCAGAUGACCUCACUCGUGUUGAUCAGGAAAUUCCCAACCUACUGGUUUAAAAUUCUGCUUGUGGGAGAAGCUGAAAUUGCAAUUAGCUUUGAUAUUAAGUUUUGGUUUGCUAAAGUGGGGUUUAGCACAAGUGACUCCAUCCUGAGCCUGUCUCUAUUGACCUAAUACAAAUAGACUGCCAGAUAUUAAUACUUCCUUAGCAAAGAUGGGUUUAUCCUGGAUCAGCCAAGAAUUGCAAUUUGGGGCUGGCAGCCAUGGUGAGCCAAGGGCAAGCCCCCCACAGCAAGGAAAGAAGAAAGCUUUUAUAAGGAAAUAAAAGGAAGUCAGGAGAGUACAGUAAACAGAGUCCAUAGUUUUUAUUUGCUCACCAGGAAGAGUCCUUUCUUCUUCCUGUUAGUUCCUGCCGUUUGCGGGGAGAGCUCCCCUUUAAGGCCUCUGUUUAUUAAUUUUUUACAUUUUUUAACACUGUACCCUCCCCCAGCCUAUGCUUCCGUCUUCGCUCCUUGGCUCAGUCACCCCGUCUCUCCUCCGUCAGUCCUGACCUCUGUCUCUCUCUAUAUACACACACGCUUCUUUCCCGCCCCUGUACCUUCUCGUUCCUCACUCCUUCUCUCCCCUAUUAGUCCCUCUGUUUUUCUCGUUUUGCCUUGCUCUACCUAACUCUGUAUGUGUGUGUGCCUCUGUGUCUGUCUGUCUAUCGGCUUCCUCCUCCUCUUUUUAAGUAAGCCGGAACCAGCUCCUUCCUGACGCUGUUAAACAUGGGAGCAAACAACAGGAGGGGAGGCCAGAGUAUUCCAAGCGAGUCUGUGCGCGCAUGCUCAGUCAGUCAUGGCCGACCCUUUGCAACCCCAGGGACUGUAGCCUGCCAGGCUCCUCUGUCCACAGGAUUUCCCAGGCAGGAAUACUGGAGCGGGGUGCCAAGCCCUCCUCCUGGUGAUCUUCCUGCCCCAAGGACUGAACCCUCGUCUCCUGCGUCGGCAGAUGGUUCUUUACCACCAAGCCCUCCUCCUGGCGAUCUUCCUGCCCCAAGGACUGAACCCUCGUCUCCUGUGUUUCCUGCAUCGGCAGAUGGUUCUUUACCACCAAGCCCUCCUCCUGGUGAUCUUCCUGCCCCGAGGACUGAACCCUCGUCUCCUGCGUCUCCUGCAUCGGCAGAUGGUUCUUUACCACCAGCACGACCUUUCCAUCUACCUAAACCCAAGACGUGUCCCUGGAAGGGGAGCAGACUUUCUAACCCUAAAGUAUGCCUAUUUGGCAUAAGGAUUAUUUCAGGCUGAUUAUUUUUAAGAAACAGCAGACACAGAAGAAUCUUUGAAAACCAAGUAGAAAUUACUCUUUUGUAAGAGACAUCUUGUAAGGGGAAGACUGAAGACAAAAGGAGACGGGGAUGGCAGAGGAUGAGAUGGUUAGACAGCAUCACCUCUCAAUAGACAUGAAUUUGAGCAAAUUUGGGAGAGAUGUAGAGGACAGAGGAGGAGCUUCAUGCUGCAGCUCAUGGAGCUGCAAACAGCUGGACACGAUUUAGUUACUAGACAACAACAGAGACAUUUACAUAUAUGAGAAUCCUCCAUUUGAAAGGAUCUCUAAAAGAAAGAGGAAGAUGCUCUAAAUCUUUAGAAACUCAUCAAUGGAGAAGGGAGGUCUCAGUGAGGAACCAAGAAGGGUACGGGGAAAACAAUUUUUCUUGCCAUUCAUCCUAUCGAGAUGAUUGCCUCAAGCCAACUUGAGCUCCAUCUUCUCAUUUCCAAUAUCACAGAGAGGAAAAAAGAAAAAUUUGAAAAAAAAAAAAAAAAACACUGGCAUGAAGAUAAUUUGGAAAAUAAAUGAAGGUCUAAAUGCCCACCUGAGGUGAUGCUAGUGGUAAAGAGCCUGCCUGCCCAAUGCAGGAGCUGCAGGAGACAUGGGUUCCAUCCCUGGAUGGCAAAGGUGCCCUGGAGGAGGGCCUAGCAACCCAUUCCCGUAUUCUUGCCUGGAGAAUGCUAUGGACAGAGGAGCCUGGUGGGCUGCAGUCCAUGGGAUCGCAAAGAGUCGGGCAUGACUGAAGAGACUUAGCAUGCACACACUUUCUAGAUAAAAGGAAUAAUUAACAAGACAAAGCACAAAUUUCAACCAAGCUUCUACAUCUUCUUUCCUGUGUGUGCAGUAAGAAUCUUCACUUGAACUUUAAAGAACCAAGGGAGAAAAACUGUGCAAUUCUUAUUUUAAACUUUUCAGGCCAAAUACUCUAAGCAAAUACAUUCAUUUGCAAUUCAUUAAGAGGAAACAAUUUGGAAAGACAGGCUAGUUUUACAUAAUGUGGUUAAUUACAUAUUCAAGUUUUUAUUUGUUUGCACUAUGAUAAAAAUCUUUCUUUCAAAGAAACAAAUUAAAAAGGAACCAUCAUUUGCAUGAUAUCUAAUUUCUGAUUUUUAAUCUGUUGUUACCAAAGAGCUAAUAUUUCCAUUUCUCAUAUUUAAUUCUAACAGAUAGCAGCAUCCUUGCUACAAAGCAUCCUCAAAGAUUAGGAAAAGUCCCUGCAAAUAUCAGAUCAAUUACAAGAAUACUCUGAUUAGAUGUCAUUAGAAUCGUAUUACCAUUCACCAAAGGGUAUUCUGGGCAAGUACUUGCAGUGGGGCAGAAAAUGAACUGGAACCGCUGAAGACUGACACCAUUUGAAAACAGCCAAUAUGGUCUUUGAAGCCCAGGGUAAGAAUUCUCUCUUCCCCGGAAGGGGACAUGUUCUAAGCAACAUCUCAUUUGCUCUGGUCCAAUCUAAGCAGAGAUAUGAGGACGUCAGACUAGAGCCAACAGAGAUUCAAGCCUAACCCUACAAUAUCAUCAUGAUAACUACUCUUUCAAUAAAAGUCAACAUUUUUGGGUCAUAGUUAUAACAUUUUUCUAACCAGAGUACCAAUGAAUGUCCUUGAGAAAAAGUUCUACCUGUAGCCCAAGACUUUUGCAAUUUUAAAAGGCAUUUCUGCAGUCAUCUGAGGUUCAUAACCUGCAUUUUGGAGCAGUUUUACAAGAAAGUACACAUCCCGUGUGUUCUGCAUCUAUUAGAAAGUUUAACAAGCCUGACUCACCCUCCUUCCCUUCCCACCGCCUUCUGUUGCAGUAAGGGGGACCCCUGACAGGGCCUGAAACUGGGCUCCUGUCUAACACUCAGAAAUGAAUUGUCUGAGGAGACACAUGUGCUGAGAAAGCAAGAGAUUUUAUUGGGAAGGGCGCCCGGGUGGAGAGCAGGAGGGUUCAGGGAACCCAGGAGGACCGCUCUGCCACGUGGCUCGAAGUCUCAGGUUUUAUGGUGAUGGGGUGAGUUUCCGGGUUGUCUUUAGCCAGUGAUUCUGACUCAGAGUCCUUCCUGGCCGUGGACGCGUCGCUCAGCCAAGAUGGAUGCCAGAGAGAAGGAUUCUGGGAGGUGGUCAGACAUGCGGUGUCUCUUUUUGACCUUUCCCGAACUCUUCUGGUUGGUGGAGGCUUAUUAGUUCUGUGUUCCUCACCAGGACCUCCUGUCAUGAAGCAGCUCAUGAGAAUGGUCACUGCGGUGCCUGGCCAGGGCGGGCAGUUCCAGUCAUUGUACUUCCCGUAACACUUCCCUUGUUAC